GGCGGCGUAGUUCAUUCUUUCGCCAGUUGGUUAGAGCACACGGCUCAUAUCCGUGUUGUCCGGGGUUCAAGUCCCUGCGCCCCA
rnacentral:tRNA from 1 species